rnacentral:rRNA from 1 species
ACGAACGCUGGCGGCGUGCUUAACACAUGCAAGUCGAACGGAAAGGCCCUGCUUUUGUGGGGUGCUCGAGUGGCGAACGGGUGAGUAACACGUGAGUAACCUGCCCUUGACUUUGGGAUAACUUCAGGAAACUGGGGCUAAUACCGGAUAGGAGCUCCUGCUGCAUGGUGGGGGUUGGAAAGUUUCGGCGGUUGGGGAUGGACUCGCGGCUUAUCAGCUUGUUGGUGGGGUAGUGGCUUACCAAGGCUUUGACGGGUAGCCGGCCUGAGAGGGUGACCGGCCACAUUGGGACUGAGGUACGGCCCAGACUGCUACGGGAGGCAGCAGUGGGGAAUAUUGCACAAUGGGCGGAAGCCUGAUGCAGCAACGCCGCGUGCGGGAUGACGGCCUUCGGGUUGUAAACCGCUUUCGCCUGUGACGAAGCGUGAGUGACGGUAAUGGGUAAAGAAGCACCGGCUAACUACGUG